GCCGUUGCGGCGCGCUAUAAUGCAGUCGAGCGAGAAGACGUAGCAAUACGUUUGUAAAGCGGCGAACGGGUGAGGAAUGCAUGGGUAACCUACCCUCGAGUGGGGAAUAACUAGCCGAAAGGUUAGCUAAUACCGCAUACGAUUCCCGGACUUCGGUUCGGGAGGGAAAGCGAUACCGUGGGUAUCGCGCUCUUGGAUGGGCUCAUGUCCUAUCAGCUUGUUGGUGAGGUAAUGGCUCACCAAGGCUUCGACGGGUAGCUGGUCUGAGAGGACAAUCAGCCACACUGGCACUGCGACACGGGCCAGACUCCUACGGGAGGCAGCAGUAAGGAAUAUUGCGCAAUGGACGAAAGUCUGACGCAGCGACGCCGCGUGGGGGAUGAAGGUCUUCGGAUUGUAAACCCCUUUCGGCAGGGAAGAUGGAACGGGUGACCGUUCGGACGGUACCUGCAGAAGCAGCCACGGCUAACUUCGUGCCAGCAGCCGCGGUAAUACGAAGGUGGCAAGCGUUGUUCGGAUUCACUGGGCGUACAGGGAGCGUAGGCGGUUGAGUAAGCCCUCCGUGAAAUCUCCGGGCCUAACCCGGAAAGUGCAGAGGGGACUGCUCGGCUAGAGGAUGGGAGAGGAGCGCGGAAUUCCCGGUGUAGCGGUGAAAUGCGUAGAGAUCGGGAGGAAGGCCGGUGGCGAAGGCGGCGCUCUGGAACAUUUCUGACGCUGAGGCUCGAAAGCGUGGGGAGCAAACAGGAUUAGAUACCCUGGUAGUCCACGCCUUAAACUAUGGAUACUAAGUGUCGGCGGUUUACCGCCGGUGCCGCAGCUAACGCAUUAAGUAUCCCGCCUGGGAAGUACGGCCGCAAGGUUGAAACUCAAAGGAAUUGACGG
rnacentral:rRNA from 1 species